ACAAACCAGCGAAGAUUAACAAAUACAUAAACGGAAAGUAAGUUUUAGGCUUCAUCCCUUGUCCUUGUUUAACAAAAUCGAUUUAAAUUGUUACUUUUUUCUAAAUUAUUGUUAAUAAUUUUUUUUAUUUUUUGGAUGCUCAGAAUGCAGGAAAUAGCAUUUCCGGGUUUCAAAUUUCAAAAAUUUUCUGGGGAUUAUCCCUCUAAUAAGCCGAUAAAUUACAGUUCAUAUUCUUUUUUACUUUUUGCGCAUUUUUUCCAUCUUUUACUUCAAAUACAAGUAUAGUUAGCAUAAAUUUUAGAGCAAAUUUGGAUGCUCAGAAUGCAGGAAAUGGCAUUUCCAUGCUUCAAAUUUGAAAAAUUUUCUGGGGGAAUACACCCCCAAACACCUGACCAUUGUUAUCCUCCUCUAAUAAGUAAUGAUAAAUGAUGGUUAUUUUUUUUUUACUUUUUGUGCGUUUUUUUCUUUGUUUAUUUCAAAUACAAGUAUAGUUAGCAUAAAUUUUGGACCAAAUUUGGAUGCUCAGAAUGCAGGAAAUGACAUUUCCGGGAUUCAAAUUUCAAAAAUUUUCUGGGGGAGUACCCCAGACCCCCCCCCCCCCAUUCAUGCGUGGUAUAUUGGCCACACGCGUGGCCUUCAGCCAUUGCUAUCCCCCUCUAAUAUAUUAUCUCACGGAAAGGUCCCUUUUCAAAAAAUGCCCCCCCGCCCCCACGGGAAAAUCCUUAAAAAAGGCCCUGGUGUUGCUUCAGUCACCUGCUCGCGGCUCACCCCCCUAAAAUUUCUGGCACCACCCCAGUAAAAAAUAUGAAAAUCCGUCUAUGUACUUAAUACUGG